rnacentral:rRNA from 1 species
AUUGAACGCUGGCGGCAUGCUUUACACAUGCAAGUCGAACGGUAACAGGCCGCAAGGUGCUGACGAGUGGCGAACGGGUGAGUAAUGCAUCGGAACGUGCCCAGUCGUUGGGGAUAACUACUCGAAAGAGUAGCUAAUACCGCAUACGAUCUAUGGAUGAAAGCGGGGGUCCGUAAGGCCUCGCGCGAUUGGAUCGGCCGAUGUCAGAUUAGGUAGUUGGUGGGGUAAAGGCUCACCAAGCCAACGAGCUGUAGCUGGUCUCAGAGGACGACCAGCCACACUGGGACUGGGACACGGCCCAGACUCCUACGGGAGGCAGCAGUGGGGAAUUUUGGACAAUGGGCGCAAGCCUGAUCCAGCAAUGCCGCGUGCAGGAAGAAGGCCUUCGGGUUGUAAACUGCUUUUGUGCGGAACGAAACGGCUCUGGUUAAUACCCGGGGCUAAUGACGGUACCGGAAGAAUAAGCACCGGCUAACUACGUG